UACGGAGGGUGCGAGCGUUGUCCGGAAUCACUGGGCGUAAAGGGCGCGUAGGCGGCGCGGUAAGCGUGCGGUGAAAGCCCCGGGCUCAACCUGGGAAUUGCAUUCGAGACUGAAUAGCUAGGGUACGGUAGAGGGAAGUGGAAUUUCCGGUGUAGCGGUGAAAUGCGUAGAUAUCGGAAGGAACAUCAGUGGCGAAAGCGACUUCCUGGACCAGUACCGACGUUCAGGCACGAAAGCGUGGGGAGCAAACAGG
rnacentral:rRNA from 1 species